rnacentral:rRNA from 1 species
AACGAACGCUGGCGGCGUGCCUAACACAUGCAAGUCGAGCGAGAAAGUUCCUUCGGGAAUGAGUAAAGCGGCGCACGGGUGAGUAACACGUAGGUAACCUACCCUCGAGCCCGGAAUAACCUACCGAAAGGUGGGCUAAUACCGGAUAUGACCACGGAAGUUACGGCUUCUGCGGUGAAAGAUGGCCUAAGCUUGCAAGCUAUCACUAGGGGAUGGGCCUGCGUACCAUUAGCUAGUGGCGGGGUAACGGCCCACCAAGGCUAUGACGGGUAGCUGGUCUGAGAGGACGACCAGUCACACUGGAACUGAGACACGGUCCAGACACCUACGGGUGGCAGCAGUCGAGUAAUUUUUCUCAAUGGGGGAAACCCUGAAGGAGCGACGCCGCGUGGAGGAUGAAGGC